rnacentral:rRNA from 1 species
CCUACGGGAGGCUGCAGUGGGGGAUAUUGCACAAUGGGGGCAACCCUGAUGCAGCGACGCCGCGUGGGUGAAGAAGUAUUUCGGUAUGUAAAGUCCUAUCAGCAGGGAAGAAAGAAGACGGUACCUGACUAAUAAGCCCCGGCUAACUACGUGCCAGCAGCCGCGGUAAUACGUAGGGGGCGAGCGUUAUCCGGAUUCACUGGGUGUAAAGGGCGCGUAGACGGCCGUGCAAGCCAGGAGUGAAAGCCCGGGGCCCAACCCCGGGACUGCUCUUGGAACUGUGCGGCUGGAGUGCGGGAGGGGCAGGCGGAAUUCCUGGUGUAGCGGUGAAAUGCGUAGAUAUCAGGAGGAACACCGGCGGCGAAGGCGGCCUGCUGGACCGCGACUGACGUUGAGGCUCGAAAGCGUGGGGAGCGAACAGGAUUAGAUACCCUGGUAGUC